GGCGGCGGCGCCAGGGGGGUGACCCUGGAGCGGGUGCGACUCCGAGCGCCUGGGACUGGAGACUGCUUUGCGGUGGGGCAGGGUUUUUCCGGGAGGUGUUGGGGCAUUGCUGCGUGUCUGUGCUGCGGAAAGAACGGCAGAGUCCCGCUGCACGCGGGGUGGCGCGGCGCCUCGUCCAGGGCUGGGGUGGCGAGGUGUGUUUGGAGAGACCGCAAGACGCUGGUUAAUUUGCACCUUUUUCUCUACCCAGCGACUUCAGCCCGGACUGAGAACAGCUCUCCUAUUGUUUUCGUUUCCUACGUGGCCGAAACCCAGAGGAGCGGCGGGUCGCCUACCUGCCUUCCCUGCCCGGGCCGGGAGCGGCUGCGCGACCGGCCACGCGGGGCGCCGGCCACCUCCCCUAUGGCGCUUUCUUCCCGGUUCGGACCCGCCUGACUCAUCU
rnacentral:lncRNA from 1 species